UUCACAGGACGAAAAGCAUACCUGAAAGUUUAAUAAUUUCAAAUGAGGGGGUGUCGACGCGUUGUUAAAAUGUUCGUGGUGACAACUAAAAUCCAAACAUAUGGUUUGCGUUCGGCGCAUACUUUGUAGCGAGACGCUAAUCCUUAGGGGCCCCCUGUGUAUAUUUGGGGCCCCUAUCCUAAAACAGUCCAAUAACUAGCAAAUUUAAAGGAAUACCUAGUUGCCGCAACGAAACUUCUAAAUAACAACUGCAAUGUUGUUGUUUUUCUAGAUAUUCACUUUCCUCAUCCAGUGCCGGAGAUUUAAAAAAAAAAGAAAGAAAGCUUGUGCUCCUAAUCUUUGUCGACGACGCGGAAAACGAAGACUCUGUAAGCUGUAUUCGGUCGAAGCCCGAACGCUCGUGGAGAAACCCACUGGAGAAUCAUGGAGUGCUCAGAAAUCGCCAUCAUUUCCGAUUCAGUAGCUUCCGUCCGAGAAUCAUCAAGAGGUAAGCACAUGUGAAUCGCUUCGUACAGAAACAAGCCUCGCAAACGUAAAUAUGCGGGACCAUUCCAAACAAGGGACCAACGCUAAGCGAUGGCACGUUGGUACAUGAUUAUCUAAGACAUUACCAACUAAUAAACUAAAGUUAACUGUGUAGUUCCCGUCUGUUGC